rnacentral:rRNA from 1 species
GACAAACGCUGGCGGCGUGCAUAAAACAUGCAAGUCGGACGAGCCAAUCCCCGCAAGGGGAAAGGGCUAGUGGCGAACGGCUGAGUAACACGUAGGUGAUCUGCCCUGAAGUGGGGGAGUAACGACUCGAAAGAGUCGCUAAUACCGCAUGUGACCACCGAUCCGUUUUCGGUGCUCAAAGUACGUAAGACGCUUUAGGAGGAGCCUGCGGC